UCACUGAGAAAGCAUCGUUGUUUCACAAAAGAUCAGUCCUCACCUUCAGAAGGAGGCUGUGUUUUAAAGCUUCUGCUCCAUUAGUGCGGCCUCAGUUCUGCCAUAUCUUUUCAACUGUGGGAAAAUUCUGAUGAUGCUCUUUGUGGAUUUAAAGGCAGAAGCUUCAUCUCUUGCCAUAGGAAGAUGAAGAAUGUACUAGAUUGCAGGGUGUACUUUGUAUCACAAGUACUCCUCCAGCUACCAAGUCUCUUCUAAGAAGUUUAUUUUCUGGCAGGUAUGAAUCAGGACAAACUUGUUGUUUCCUUUUUCCUUCACCUAUGUAAUAAUAAAUUAAAGCUG
rnacentral:lncRNA from 1 species